GAUUAAGUUAUUAAGGGCGCACGGUGGAUGCCUUGGCACUAGAAGCCGAUGAAGGACGUUACUAACGACGAUAUGCUUUGGGGAGCUGUAAGUAAGCUUUGAUCCAGAGAUUUCCGAAUGGGGAAACCCAGCAUGAGUUAUGUCAUGUUAUCGAUAUGUGAAUACAUAGCAUAUCAGAAGGCACACCCGGAGAACUGAAACAUCUUAGUACCCGGAGGAAGAGAAAGAAAAUUCGAUUCCCUUAGUAGCGGCGAGCGAAACGGGAAGAGCCCAAACCAACAAGCUUGCUUGUUGGGGUUGUAGGACACUCUAUACGGAGUUACAAAGGACGACAUUAGACGAAUCAUCUGGAAAGAUGAAUCAAAGAAGGUAAUAAUCCUGUAGUCGAAAAUGUUGUCUCUCUUGAGUGGAUCCUGAGUACGACGGAGCACGUGAAAUUCCGUCGGAAUCUGGGAGGACCAUCUCCUAAGGCUAAAUACUCUCUAGUGACCGAUAGUGAACCAGUACCGUGAGGGAAAGGUGAAAAGCACCCCGGAAGGGGAGUGAAAUAGAACCUGAAACCGUGUGCUUACAAGUAGUCAGAGCCCGUUAAUGGGUGAUGGCGUGCCUUUUGUAGAAUGAACCGGCGAGUUACGAUUUGAUGCAAGGUUAAGCAGUAAAUGUGGAGCCGUAGCGAAAGCGAGUCUGAAUAGGGCGUUUAGUA
rnacentral:rRNA from 1 species